rnacentral:rRNA from 1 species
GACAGAGGGUGCAAACGUUGUUCGGAAUUACUGGGCGUAAAGCGCGUGUAGGCGGCAGGGCAUGUCGGAUGUGAAAUCCCGUGGCUCAACCACGGAAGUGCACCCGAAACUGCCCAGCUUGAGUCUCGGAGAGGAAGGCGGAAUGCUUGGUGUAGAGGUGAAAUUCGUAGAUAUCAAGCGGAACACCAGUGGCGAAGGCGGCUCACUGGACCGGUACUGACGCUGAUGCGCGAAAGCGUGGGGAGCAAACGGG